GACGAACCGUGCGAACGUUGUUCGGAAUCACUGGGCUUAAAGGGCGCGUAGGCGGCUCGCCAAGUCGGGGGUGAAAUCUUUCGGCUCAACCGGAAAAGUGCCUUCGAUACUGGCGGGCUAGAGGGAGGUAGGGGCAUGCGGAACUUCCGGUGGAGCGGUGAAAUGCGUUGAUAUCGGAAGGAACGCCGGUGGCGAAAGCGGCGUGCUGGACCUCUUCUGACGCUGAGGCGCGAAAGCUAGGGGAGCAAACGGG
rnacentral:rRNA from 1 species